UACGAAGGUUCCAAGCGUUGUUCGGAAUCACUGGGCGUAAAGGGUGCGUAGGCGGUUUGGUAAGUCAGAUGUGAAAUCCCGGGGCUCAACCCCGGAACUGCAUCCGAUACUGCCGGACUAGAGGACUGGAGAGGUGACUGGAAUUCUCGGUGUGGCAGUGAAAUGCGUGGAUAUCGAGAGGAACACUCGUGGCGUAAGCGAGUCACUGGACAGUAUCUGACGCUGAGGCACGAAGGCCAGGGUAGCGAAAGGG
rnacentral:rRNA from 1 species